AUGAAUCCAUUCAGGGGCCCGGGUGCGAGAGCGCAGCUCGGAGCUGGAGGACCGCGGCUGGAUGAGGCCACCGUUCAAAGUCAGUGCCUGGAGGAAGGGACACCCUCGGGAGAAGGCAGCCGUGGCCGGUGGGGGAUGGACCACUCCUCAGGCGGGCUGCUGGCUCUCUGGGCCUCAGUGUCCUCCUCAGAGAGCAGGUCUCAAGUCACGUCUCAUGGAGAUAAGCAGCGACAUUGUUACGACAAAGUAUGUAAAACCAGCUGUAAGCUAAGCGUAAUAAAUAUUACACAGAGAUGUAAGUCACUGCUUCUGCCUGCCGAGGGUAUAUGCAGAGACCCAGCCCCGCCACCAGCCGUACACGGAUGUGGCUCUCGGUGUUUUAAACCAUCAGGGUCCUAACAGGGGAAGGCUCUGCCUGUGCAAACCCGCCACCGUGGCGGCUGUGACAGCGUUACCAACCAGCAACGCAGGCCUGUGAAGAAGCGGGACCGGGGAGGGUCCAGGCGGCCGAGCUGGCACAGCCCCAGAGCAGGUCCCGGGUUCCUCCCGCCGCCUGUCUGUCCGCAGCCUCGGAAACGCAGGCACGCAUUCCAGAGAGCUGAGAGCAUUGCAGACUGGUGGUUCGUUAGAGUUGCAUACAUGGAUAAGCCCACCUAUUUUUGCUUUCGAGAAUUCCACUUCUAUUUUUGGUGGAAUAUAAAAGCUUUGACUAUUUCCCAAAGUGGAAAAACACAUUUUUUUUCCUUGAAUGUCUUACGGAUCACGGUUGCCGUUAAAUAAAUGCUUCCCGUCUGGAUGGGCUCA
rnacentral:lncRNA from 1 species